UAUAGUCUUGUCAACAUAACAUAAUGGGAUUGGCUUAGCAAUUUCAAAGAGCCUCUUUUUACAUUUCCUUGUAUAUUGGGCCUUUCCAUAUACAUAUUUUUUUACGGGCAUGUUUGUACUGUGAUUAUAUUUGGAGGUAAACAUAUGAAGUGUUCAGUGUUUAAACGUGUAAUAUCCCCCUUCACUAGGAAAAAUUGAUUCCAGUCUCUC
rnacentral:lncRNA from 1 species